GAUGAAGAACGCAGCGAAAUGCGAUAAGUAAUGUGAAUUGCAGAAUUCAGUGAAUCAUCGAAUCUUUGAACGCACAUUGCGCCCGUCAGUAUUCUGGCGGGCAUGCCUGUUCGAGCGUCAUUACGCCCCUCAAGUCCCCUGUGGACUUGGUGUUGGGGAUCGGCGAGGCUGGUUUUCCAGCACAGCCGUCCCUUAAAUUAAUUGGCGGUCUCGCCGUGGCCCUCCUCUGCGCAGUGGUAAAACACUCGCAACAGGAGCCCGGCGCGGUCCACUGCCGUAAAACCCCCCAACUUUUUAUAGUUGACCUCGAAUCAGGUAGGACUACCCGCUGAACUUAAGCAUAUCAAUAAGCGGAGGA
rnacentral:misc_RNA from 1 species